rnacentral:tRNA from 1 species
GAGGGUAUAGCUCAGUGGUAUAGUCUGUGCUCAGCAUGCACAAGGUCCUGGGUUCAAUCCCCAGUACCUGCA